rnacentral:rRNA from 1 species
AGCGAACGCUGGCGGCAGGCCUAACACAUGCAAGUCGAACGAAGCCUUCGGGCUUAGUGGCGGACGGGUGAGUAACACGUGGGAACGUACCUUUUGGUUCGGAAUAACGCAGAGAAAUUUGCGCUAAUACCGAAUGAGCCCUUCGGGGGAAAGAUUUAUCGCCGAAAGAUCGGCCCGCGUUGGAUUAGGUAGUUGGUGUGGUAAAGGCGCACCAAGCCUACGAUCCAUAGCUGGUCUGAGAGGAUGAUCCGCAACACUGGGAGUGAGACACGGCCCAGGCGCCUACGGGCGGCAGCAGUGGGGAAUCUUGCGCAAUGGGCGAAAGCCUGGCGCAGCCAUGCCGCGUGAAUGAUGAAGGUCUUAGGAUUGGAAAAUUCUUUUACCAGGGACGAUAAUGACGGUACCUGGAGAAAAAGCCCCGGCUAACUUCGUGCCAGCAGCCGCAGUAACAC